CGUGCGCCCUGAGCCCGCCUCGCAGGUUACCUGGGCCUGACACGUGACCGCGACGCCACGUGACUCGGGUCUCGCCUCCGACCCCCGCCCGGUCUCCAGCCGGCGGAAGCGGAAGGCGGGCGGUGGGCGCGGCUGGUCACCUCCUUGCGGGGCCUCUGGGUCCGUCCUGGAGCUGCUAGAUGAAAAGAGGGGUUUGGAGCGGACGUGCGGCUCUCCGUCGCGGGCCGAGGGUGGGAGUCCCACGGCGGCCGCCCCACGGGAGACGAGAGGGCGUUUCCGCAGGGACGCCGAUGCUAACGCGUCUCUCGGCCUCGGGGCCAGUGGAGAGUCUGGGCUGGGGGGCAGGAAGGAGGGGGAUGUGAACACGCGUACUGAGUGUUACCCCUCGUGCUGGAAAAACACACAAGGCACAGGGUGUAAAGCUAGACACAAUCUUGAAGGGGCUUCAGAGGGUUCGGUGGCUUCCGGCUGUCACCCCGUCCUAGAGGCCGUGGGGGACUGGGCGGCCUCAGCCUGGAAGGUUCAGAAAGGCCCCAAGCUGCCCAGGGAAGGAAAUCGCAGCCUCGCUGCUGCCAGAACCUUCCUGAAGUGCCUCUCACUCACUCCCCAGUUCCUGAUUUGCUUCUAGGCUCUGCCCGGUUCUUCUCUUUUCUCGACUGCUGCCCGCGCUCUGGCCACACCGGCCCUUUGCAGAGAGAGGUGACGCCCGCCUGCCCUGCUGCUUCGUUGAGCACUUGCAACCCCACCUCCUGGGGAAACGUGCCUCCAGUGCACCUUCGGUGCAGCCUUGGAAGCCCCUUCCUGUGUUGAGAGAACGCCUUACCCUCUGAAUAUGGAUGGCAGACAGAGCACCUAGCAGAAGCUGAAAAAACCAGAUGGUCACUUUCCCAGCCUUCCUAGCGGCUAAGCUGGAGCAGGCCUGUACGGAAGAAUUUUCCAUCGUGGACCAGUUGGUUACUCCAAAAUACCGUCCCUACAGGAAAGGUGGGAUCUGUACCUGAUUCGUGAUUCUUUUGUCUGGCUUCAGAGUAAGAACUCAGUGCUGAAGCAGCUUCCAAAAGUGAACUGCCGCGCCCGGCGUGAACCGUGCGCUCUGGGGGGUGAUGACCUGUCUUUGCGGGUUCCUCAGUGGGGACCGAUGCCCCACCUGGUGUGGACACUGAUGGUGGGGGAGGCCGUGCGUGGCGGGAAGGUGGCAGAGGGGGUAUGGGAACUCUGUACUUUCAGUUUUGCUAUGAACCUGAAACUGCUCUAAAAAAUACAGUUUAUUAAUUAAAAAACAAAGUGAACCAUCACAUUUUAAAAAAUGUGAUGUUAAAGCGCUAUGUUACCGUGGAUUUCUGUAUAGUUGAUAUGUCUUCAGUCUUUUGUAGUUAUUAUCAUUUUCAGGUUAAAAUCGUGUGGUCUUGGUAGUGCAGCCUUCUAGAUUUGAGUGACUGUGACAUUUCUCUCCACGUGGGCUGCCGCUGUUGCUGUCCCACCAGCGAUGCAUCAGCAGAGAGCCCGUGUGCCCACAGCCUGACCCUGACCUGUGAGAAAUUCGGUCCCUGUAGUUUUCAUUUGCAUUUUCCUUAUGAGUGGGGCACCUGCCUUUUUUUGCCCAUCUUUCUGUCAGAUUAUAGAGAUAUUUGCAAUACAAGUCACACUUUUAAAGUCAGUGUAUCACUUUUAGAAUCAUUUUGGUAUUUUAGUUUGCUUAUGGCAUGUUUUUGUUUGCAGAAGUUCUUUUGUUUAAACGUGGGUGAAUUGAUCACUCUUCCACAGCAUUUGGGUUUUAAGUCCUUCCUAGUCCUAGGUUAGAAGACUCCGUCUGUGUUCUGCCAGUGCGUGUGUAGUUUCAUUUCUGCAUUUGUAUCUCUGAUGCAGGGUGCCGACGGGCAGGGCAGAGAAGGGGUCCGUGUCACCCUUCCCACGCAGGUCUCUAGGUGUCCUCCUUCCACUUACCAAAAGCUCACCUUUUGCCCACUGAUUGGAGAUUCCACCCUCAUCCUGUGCUGACGUGAGAACGUACUUGACUUGAUGAUUUUUGGAGCUGCCCCAGCACCACUGUUUUGAAGUUAUAGAUGCUGUAUCUGCAGGGCCAGCUCCCUCACUUUUCUCCUUCAGGGUUUUUCUAACUAUUGUUGUCUAUUUUGCCAUAUGAUCUUUUGCAAGCAAGUUGUCUUUAAAAAUAAAAUUAACGUUCACCCAAGAGAAAUUCUGACUUAGGUUGGCAGUGUUUACGGCAGCCCUAGCCAUCAUUGCCCCAGGCUGCACGCAGGCGGUGGCGGGGGAUCCUCCGGGCACUUGGGAAGUGCAGGACAUUCUGGAAAGGGCAAAACUGUCGGGAUUGGCGGGGCUGGGGCAGCCUGAGGGGGUCUGGGCUGACGGGGCUGUUCCGUCUAGUAACGAGGGGGUGGGGAUGGGACUUUGAAGGUUUGCCAAACCCAUAGAAACGUGCGCCCCAAAGACUGAACUUUAUGUUAAUUUUAAAACUAUCAAGCAGGAUGUAGGGGGUGCAGUCCGUGACAAAGGUGACUGUCCUGGUGGUCCCGUGGCCACACCGCCGACCCCAGGAACCCCGCGUGUGGACCGGAGACCUGGGUGGACGCUGUCCUCCGGCUGGUCGGCUCACUCCCACUGGGGUGGGUUAGCGGUUCUGAAGCUGUAUGUUUACCACUGUUGAACAAGUAAGCAGAUAUUUUGCAGAUAAUGAGAACUCGCAGGUUCCUUGCUGUGGGAGAGAGAAGCUGCAGCGGGGAAGAGGGGACCCUGUGAGCUGGAGCUCGUGUGUGUGUUUAGAACACAGAUCGACGGAGAGUCAGGAAAUCCAGAGCCGGGUGCUUGCGCGGGUCGGACUGUCUCCUGACUGCCCGCUGAGAGCCGAGAAGCACAGCCCUGCAGGUGAGGGUCCUGAGGACUCUCCCUGGGAAAGGAGCCACGUGGUGCCCACGCGGGGCCUCGGGGAUGCAGGUGCCACCCUGAGCUGCCAGCAGCCCCGGGCGCUGGACCACACCGAGUGCGGAGGUGAUGUUGGUAGCACUGGGGCGGAAUCCAAGGGGUGGGUAAAUGUCGCUGAGGAGGGAGGGGACGCAGGGCACGUCCUCCUCACAGAACCUCCAGCACGGAGGGCCGUGGGCAGUGACCGCUGUGACCGCUGCCGGCGCCCGGGGGGACCGGUGCUCGAAGCUGCCGGGCAGGCGGGCGUCCGGAUGGUCUCAGAGACGUCUCCAAAUAGCUCUUUCCUAACUACAAAGAAAAAAGGAGUCACUGUGCAGUGGAGACGCCACCUGCCUCAGCUGUGAGGGUCCCCGUCCCUGGUGACGGGGCAUGGUGACACCGCUGUGCCCUCCUGCCCUUCCCGGUGACCUGUGCCCCAGGGCGGCUGGCGACGGCUGACCCUGCUCUUCAGAAGCCUCCAGGUCACGGAGACGGGACCAAGGGGACUGUCCCAGGUGGGGGCCUGAGGGUCCAGGGUCAGCUCCCAGGACAGAGACGGGCGUUUGCAGAAAUCCUGGUGACGUCGUCGCCCACCACGUGGCUUAGCCAAUAGCGUCGGAGCAGGGCCACCCUCGUUCCCAAUGGUACACGCUUUCCUUCCGGGAGGGGCGCAUGUCCCGGGAAGUGUGGAGACCCGGGGAGGGGACUCUGGUGCCCCUGCAGCUCUUCUGUGAGUCCAAAACCGAAAGAAUCUGUACUGGGAUCACGUUGUGGUUAUCAGUCAGCUGUGGGCAUGUGACGUCUUUGUGGUGUUCCUGUUGUCCCCUGCAAAGGACGCACGACGUGAGCCCCGAGUUUCCGCGUGAUUCGGGGACAGCCCCUCAUCCAGCUCCGGGGAGCCGCUCCGAGGAGGGGGGCCUCGUGGAGGGUCGCUGCCUGUCACGGGGACAGGUAUCCCCGUGAAUGACUCUAGCGCUUGCCUAAGGGUGGGAAGAUGCAAGGAUCCGGUCUGUAAAUGUUGUUCCUAAAGUGUAACCGUCGAAGGGCCUGUUUUCUUCCCAAAGCGCCAGGCCUCAUCCCAUCCCGGGUCUGCGCUCCCCUCGGGCUGCGCUGUGGGGCCCGGUGCCCCAUGGCUUGAUCCUCGGGGAACCAGAUGGUGGGGACAUCCUUUGUUUUACACUAUAAUUCAUUGAAGUCUAGCUUAUGCUGCUUUUAGAGAGUUUACUGUCUUACUGUGUGAAGAUAACAGGUGCUUGUGAUAGACAAAUUGGGGGAAAAAAGGGGAAAAUUCAAUGUUUACGUCAACCAGCUACGUAUUGUGAUAUUUUAAAGACUUUUCCAUAUAUUUGUGCUUUUUAAAAAAAAUUAUUGUUGCAUUUUGUAUCCUCCUUUUUUCACUUGUAACAUUUUCCCAUGCUAUUACAAACUCUAUAAAUAUACUUUUAAUAGUAUCUGUUAUUACA